AACGAACGCUGGCGGCAUGCCUAACACAUGCAAGUCGAACGAGACCUUCGGGUCUAGUGGCGCACGGGUGCGUAACGCGUGGGAAUCUACCCUCAGGUUCGGAAUAACUCAGAGAAAUUUGAGCUAAUACCGGAUGAUGACCUAAGUCCAAAGAUUUAUCGCCUGAGGAUGAGCCCGCGUAGGAUUAGGUAGUUGGUGAGGUAAAGGCUCACCAAGCCGACGAUCCUUAGCUGGUCUGAGAGGAUGAUCAGCCACACUGGGACUGAGACACGGCCCAGACUCCUACGGGAGGCAGCAGUGGGGAAUAUUGGACAAUGGGCGAAAGCAUGAUCCAGCAAUGCCGCGUGAGUGAUGAAGGCCUUAGGGUUGUAAAGCUCUUUUACCCGGGAUGAUAAUGACAGUACCGGGAGAAUAAGCUCCGGCUAACUCCGUG
rnacentral:rRNA from 1 species